GACGAACGCUGGCGGCGUGCUUAACACAUGCAAGUCGAACGGUGAAAGCGGAGCUUGCUCCGCUGGAUCAGUGGCGAACGGGUGAGUAACACGUGGGCAACCUGCCCUUCACUUCGGGAUAACUCCGGGAAACCGGGGCUAAUACCGGAUAUGACCUCUGCGGGCAUCCGCGGAGGUGGAAAGUUUUUCGGUGAAGGAUGGGCCCGCGGCCUAUCAGCUUGUUGGUGAGGUAGUGGCUCACCAAGGCGACGACGGGUAGCCGGCCUGAGAGGGGCACCGGCAACACUGGGACUGAGACAGAGCCCAGACUCCUACGGGGGGCAGCAGGGGGGAAUAUUGCGCAAUGGGCGAAAGCCUGACGCAGCAACGCAGCGUGCGGGAUGACGGCCUUCGGGUUGUAAACCGCUUUCAGCAGGGAAGAAGCCGCAAGGUGACGGUACCUGCAGAAGAAGCACCGGCUAACUACGUGCCAGCCGCCGCUGUAA
rnacentral:rRNA from 1 species